rnacentral:rRNA from 1 species
AAUACGUAGGUGGCAAGCGUUAUCCGGAAUUACUGGGCGUAAAGCGCACGCAGGCGGUCUUUUAAGUUUGACGUGAAAGCUCCCGGCUUAACUGGGAGAGGUCGUUGAAGACUGGAAGACUUGAGGCAAUGAGAGGGGUGUAGAAUUCCCGGUGUAGUGGUGGAAUGCGUAGAUAUCGGGGGGAAUACCAGUGGCGAAAGCGGCACCCUAGCGUUGGCCUGACGCUCAUGUGCGAAAGCGUGGGGAGCGAACGGGA